rnacentral:rRNA from 1 species
AAUGGCCGCAGUAUUUUGACUGUGCAAAGGUAGCAUAAUCAUUAGUUUCUUAAUUAGAAGCUGGAAUGAAGGGUUGGACGAGAAAAUAACUGUCUCUUUAUAAAUUUUUUAUAAUUUUAUUUUUAAGUUAAAAAGCUUAAAUAUAUUUAAAAGACGAGAAGACCCUAUAGAGUUUUAUAAAUAGUUAAAUAAUAAUUAAUUUUGCAUAUAUUAAAAUUAUAUUUAAUAAUUUAUUUAAUUGGGGUGAUUAAAAAAUUUAAUAAACUUUUUUUUUAUUAUACCAUUUAUAUAUGAUUUAUUGAUCCAUAGUUAAUGAUUAUAAGAUUAAAUUACCUUAGGGAUAACAGCGUAAUUUUUUUUUAGAGUUCAAAUCGAUAAAAAAGUUUGCGACCUCGAUGUUGGAUUAAAAUUUAUUUUUGGUGUAGUAGCUAGAAUAUUAGGUCUGUUCGACCUUUAAAAUUUUACAUGAUCUGAGUUUAAACCGGUGUGAGCCAGGUUGGUUUCUAUCUUUAAUUAAAUUUUAUAUUUUAGUACGAAAGGACCGAAUAUUAAUAAUAAUUAUUUUAUUAGAAUAUUAAUAAUUG